GAUGAAGAACGUAGCGAAAUGCGAUAAGUAAUGUGAAUUGCAGAAUUCAGUGAAUCAUCGAAUCUUUGUACGCACCUUGCACCCUUUGGCAUUCCGAAGGGUAUGCUCGUUUGAGUGUCAUUGUACUCUCACACUUCCAAUCUUUGGAUUGGGGGCGGUGGACUUGGGUGUUGCUGCUUACUGUGGCUCACCUCAAAUUGAUUCGUGCACCUCUUGGUUGGACAUAGUACGGCGUGAUAAGUGUCUUCGCCGGCACCUCAGUAGAGGGUGGCUGAUCGGGAGCUCUGUGCUUCAAACCGUCCUCGGACAACAACUGACAACUUGACCUCAAAUCGAGUAGGACUACCCGCUGAACUUAAGCAUAUCAAUAAGCGGAGGA
rnacentral:misc_RNA from 1 species